rnacentral:RNase_P_RNA from 1 species
CGAGCAGAUCAGACGGCAGCGCGUUAUUACGUGAGGAAAGUCCGGGCUCCACAGGGCAGGAUAGCUGCUAACGGCAGCCGGAGGCGACUUCAGGGAAAGUGCAACAGAGAUAUACCGCCUGAUUCUUCAGGUAAGGGUGGAAAGGCGAGGUAAGAGCUCACCGGCAUGACGGAGACGCCAUGGCCAUGUAAACCCUAUCCGGAGCAACACCGAACGGAACGAUACGUCUGCCCGGCGUGUUCCACAGCGUGGCUGGAGCUGAAUGGCGACAUUCAGUCGAGACAGAUUGCCGUCCUCGACAGAACCCGGCUUACAGAUCUGGUCGCAUC